GUCUGCAUCUCUAACUCUCCCUGUGUGUGUGUGUGUGUGUGUGUGUGUGUGUGUGUGUGAGCCACUGUGAGCACGUGCAAUUGCCUAAGUGUAUUAGUGUCUCUCGCUGCUCUCUGUGUGACUUUGCUUGAUUGUGUGUGUGCCUCUGUGUGUGUGUGUGUGUAUGUGUCUGUGUGAGGCAAACGCCGCUGCAAUUUGCAAUUUUUUGUCUACACGCCGCUGCAACUGCGCGCAAUAAACUUUUUGAGCAUUAAAAAUCAGCUAAAACUUAAUAAACAUUUGGGAUAUUUCUUUCGGGAAAACUUAAGAACACAACAAUUGUGGAAAACAGCUGUACCAGAAAGAGUUAAUAACUGUUAGUUGUUGAAAGCCAAUGCGCAAGAAAUUACAUUUCAGUCAGUUAUUUCGAAUAAUCAUGUGAAAAUGACAUGUUUUUUGGGUACUCAUUGAAGUCAAUAAGAAAGAAGCAAAGGCUAAAGAGCAAAGUUUUAAUAUAAUUUCAAUCAAAACAAGAAGAAAACGAACAAAUUGAACAAAACUAAAUAAGACAAAACUAAAUAA
rnacentral:sRNA from 1 species